GAUGGAUGUUAAAUGAUGAUUUUUGCAAUAAUGUUGGUGCUAACACUGGGAGAUGUAUUAAUCAUGAUAAUUUUAUUUUAGACUGUAAAUAAAUUAGAUGUGUUGUUCUUAGCAAACUGUGUUGUCUCUGUCUAUUGAGCUGACAAGUUCCAUUCCCAUUUGACAGUAAUAUACCUUAUGGGAAAGAAGUGCAUUAAAACCCUUUCUGCCAUUGUUAAUGUGACAAUUGGAUAUAAAACCGCAACUUUGUUUCAUGCUUUUUUAACUAGUUAAUAUGUAAUACAAUGUUCUCAUAUUCAGGUGUGAAACCGAAUUUUAAACUGGUUAGAUGUGUGUAACAGUAUUAUGUAAUGUGUGAUUAACUCAAUGUUAUGCCAUGUACAGCUGUGUAUAACUGUUUUUGUGUCUCUGUUCAGGUGUGUGUAAUAUAAGCU